CCGGAAGCAAGUGCAGCAGCGUGGUGUGGAAAGCUGGGGAACGAGAGUGCCGGACAUUCGGGGAUACCGCGUUUGUUGGUGCGGGGAUACGACCAUACCAGGGAGAGAGAGGAGAAGGGGGCCAUCCUGAGGUCUCUCCGUGCCAAGUUGUUCUUGAAAUUCUCCUUGUGGCACAAAUACAGAGAACUACAAAAGAAGUGUGAUAUAAAGAGGUUUAAGCCCAAUCUUUUAAAGGAGAUGAGCGAACGAUUAUGUCCAGGGGUUCCCGUUCCUACUAUAAAGAGGAGAGGACCGUGAAAAGAGAGAAAUCAUCCGCUAAAUGUGGUGAUGAUGGAGGUCUCCACCACAGAUGAAGAGGAUUCCCAAGAGCAAGCAGGACCCUCAGAGAAAGUAGUGGCCCCUCCACCACCUGAUGUCCAUAUGAUGGCUCCUAUUAAAGCUCAUGAGCCAGGACCCUCCCAGGAGCUUCAGCGUGAGGUGACUGACACACCUGAUGUGGGAGAAGAGGUGGAGGUGGAAGACGCUGGAGCCACCACAAGAACCCCCCACCACUCCAGAGGAUGUUGUAACAAACCCCCGCCAAGAGGUACUGCUGUUUUUGGGGAUUUUUUUUUUAACUUAAUCAGCAAGUACAUGAUGCCAGCAUGCGCCAAAUGCAGAGGCUGAUGGCCAAGCUGAAGGAACAGCACCUGAAACAAAAGAGGGACAUGUUGAUGGUUU